rnacentral:rRNA from 1 species
AUUGAACGCUGGCGGCAGGCCUAACACAUGCAAGUCGAGCGGAUGAUGAAAGCUUGCUUUCUGAUUCAGCGGCGGACGGGUGAGUAAUGCCUAGGAAUCUGCCUGUUGGUGGGGGAUAACUCGGGGAAACUCGGGCUAAUACCGCAUACGUCCUACGGGAGAAAGUGGGGGAUCUUCGGACCUCACGCUAACAGAUGAGCCUAGGUCGGAUUAGCUAGUUGGUGGGGUAAAGGCCCACCAAGGCGACGAUCCGUAACUGGUCUGAGAGGAUGAUCAGUCACACUGGAACUGAGACACGGUCCAGACUCCUACGGGAGGCAGCAGUGGGGAAUAUUGGACAAUGGGCGAAAGCCUGAUCCAGCCAUGCCGCGUGUGUGAAGAAGGUCUUCGGAUUGUAAAGCACUUUAAGUUGGGAGGAAGGGCGCUCGGUGAAUACCCAGGCGUCUUGACGUUACCGACAGAAUAAGCACCGGCUAACUUCGUGCCAGCCGCCGCCGUAAUAC